CAAAACUGUUUUGAGCAGUGGAAAAAAUAUCUUGAUAGGUAUAUUUCAUCAAAUGGAGAGUACUUCGAAGGUGACUGAAGUAUCAGCAUUGUAUUGAGUUUCUGGGAGGCU